AAAACCGUCGGGGAAAGCCCUUUAUAAUAAAACACCCUCUACAUUUCAGAUCACGCUUUCCCUCUACAUUACAUAUUGCUCCAAACCCUCUCAUUUGCUCCAAACCCUUUCUCUCGUUCUUCAUGAUCGACGAGCCCAAACUCUCUCCCCGAUCUCUCUCUCACGGCGACGCAGCUCUGCCACCACCAGCGACGCACCACUGCCGCCUCUCCACUCCACCGAGCGCCACCAUCGUAGGCCGACCCCAAAAAUCCCAAAGCCUUUCGCCCCUUCGCUAUUUGCUUUCACAUUCAGGGAAAGAGCGAUCCGUACUCAAAUGAUGAGAUGAAUAUCAUGCGUGAUCAGUGAAUUGAAUACGUCCGAGCACAGGCAGUGCAGCAAAGGCUAUUACAAUGAUCAGUUUAUGUUUUUGUUUAUACUUUAUCCUAACUAAUUAGUGACAAUGUAUAUAAAUUAGUAAAAAUUAAUUAAUGUAGGAAAAACUUUACUAUAUAAAUCAGUUUCUGUUUCAGUUUCA